CCUAAGUGAAAUGCUGUUACAACUACAUUUCCCUUCAGGCAAGUCAUCUUCUGCCUUUGCCUUUAUUACCAAGAUUAUAAAAACUUUGCCUUUAUUACCAAGAUUAUAAAAACUUGGAGGUAGGAAGUAAGAAGGCAUCAUUACAUUACUCUCUGUUAAAAUGGCAAAUAUAUUUCUAUUCAAUGACGAUAAUCAUAAAUAGGCAGUCUAUUCAAAUACAAACAUUUGUGGAGCCCUUCUUUGGUAGUAGGGAUAUGAAAAUGAUUAAAAUGUGGUUCCUGUCCUCUAUCACAUAAAAAUAAAAAUAAUUUCAGCUCAUCUCAGAUCAUUUUUCCUUCUACACAAUGUACCUGACCAGAUGUACCAUUUGUUAAAGUCUUGCAAGUUCACCCUGGCGUGUGGCUGCAAGGUAGCCACUGCCCGUUUUUGGCUGGCGCCUGCACACUGAGCAGGCCCAUUAUAAGCCAUGCUUGGGUUUUUUGUUUCUCCUUCAGAUGGUCAUUUAGGACUCCUCCAUAUGGCCAUAGGUGUAACCUGAGAGAGGGCAGUAGUGAAAUGUAGCGGGUAACGUUGAGGUUUGGGCUACCAAUUUAUGCAGCUUUUGUGCUUAGACUUUAUCUCAUAUGUACCAUUUGCAUUUUAUAUGGAUCACUUCUUGACCUGCACAACUUUCAGAUUUGAUGAGUUCAACAGAAACCAACUCAAGGGAGAAGAAUAAAGACAUUGCUGAACUUAGACUUUGACAAGAUAAGUAAGUAACUAUAUUAUAAUUUUUUUGGUAACCAUUAAUCGAAUAUAAAUAAAGAUGAUGCCUUCAGGCAAGUGGGGUGGAAAAUACUAAAAUAUUUAUAAAAUAUUUGACCAAUCCAGUAGAAAACAAGAAAGGAGAGAAAAAGAAAUAGUACAGGAUAAAUAGAUGAAACCACAAAUAAAUAAGUAAUUACCUGCCAAAUGAAUAGAUUCUUUGCUCCAAUUAUAAAACAAAAUAAUUUAAAAUACAGUACAAAAAUCUAUAUACUGCUUAUACAAGAACAUGGAAUUUAAAGUAUAAAGUGAAAGGAUAAAGGAUGUAUGUGCAAAAGUUAAACAAAGGAAAUCUACUACUAGAGGUAAAGACUUCACAAUGAUAAGCUUCUCAUCAACAGAAACAUUUAACCCUUUUUACAUUUAUAGAUACCUAUAUUAGUUCAUUCUCACAUGGCUGUAAAGAACUACCUGAG
rnacentral:lncRNA from 1 species